AUUGAUUAAUUAGAUAAGCCAGAGGGAUCGUAAUUUUUGUAGAGUUUUGUUAGAUAAUUUUUAAAUAGGUAUCAAUUGAGUAUUUGCGAGGACGCUGCACAGUUAGGAGUGGGGCUAUGUAGAAUAAGUAGUUAUUUUCAGAAUGUAGAUACCUAUUAUAUAGUGUAAAUAAGGAUAGAUAACUGCUAAAAAGGUGGUUCAGCAAGUAGAAUGGAUGAAUAGUUAGGAAAAGUAGUUAUCAUCUGUAGUAUAGGAAUUGGUAUCUCGGGGUAGUAUAAAGAGGAUGGGAGAGGGGAAGAAAAUGCCAAACUGCAAUAGUACUGAGCCGAUGAUAAGCUUGGUGCUAUCUCUUCUUCUUAAUUUUCUUGUUUCUUUUAUGUUAAUGUUGAUUCUAGUGAAGAGAAUCGAUUUAAUGAAUUAAUUUUUGAUUUAUGAAGUUGUUUAUGUAUCACCGUUUA
rnacentral:lncRNA from 1 species